UAUAACUGUAAUUCAAUAAUUGUCUUCAGCAACAAGCAAGUUUUUUAUUUGUCCUUUAAUGGCCGGUGUCAUAUUCUGAUUGGUUUGACACACUGGGCUAGUUUAUCUAGAUUAGAUGGAAAAUGAGAAGCUUUGAUGCAGCAUGUCUUUACAAGAAGCAUCAAUAGGUACGAAGAAAGCGAGUUCUAUCUAGUAGGGAUUUAGGAGGAUCAUCGAAUUUGCUUCAAAAUAUUUAACUUCGUUGCGUGACCUGAGGCAGGAAUGGCAUUUGCAUUAAAAUUGUAUUUUACUAGAAUGAAUCUGAAGAGGAACUGAAGAAGUACUUAUUAUAUGUUCAACAUUAUUGUUGCUAUAAUUCAGUUUUGACAGACACUUUUGUUGAAAAUGCAAUCGAAAGACUAAGGCAUCCAUUUUCCAAGUUAUUUGCCCCAAAUUUUGACUUAAAAUUACAUCUGGCAAGAUGAUAUCUUUCACUUUAAUUGUUUAAACAUUCAGCGCACGUUUCACAGCUACCGAGGGUAGCGGUAGAAGUGACUCGCGUUCAGGGCACCGUACGAGGGAAGCGGUAGAAGUGACUCGCGUUCAGGGCACCGUAUAAACCCCGAAAUAAAAGUAACUUGUGUUUAGGGCACCGUACAAGGGUAGCGGUAGAAGUGACUCGUGUUCAGGGCAUCGUACGAGAGUAGCGGUAGAAGUGACUCGCGUUCAGGGCACCGUAUAAACCUAGCGGUAAAAGUGACUCGUGUUUAGGGCACCGUACAAGGGUAGCGUUGAAAGUGAGUCGUAUUCAUUAAAUAUAAAUUGUAUUUGGACCUUUUAGCCCAGGAAAUUAAAUUAUUUUAUAUUUUUAUCUGAUAGAGAAUUUUCCUAGCUUUCAUAAUCUUCAAUCCGUUUGUCGCUAGCGCUAUUAAUUUAAAAGAUACUUGUUACGAGAAAUUCUCAAAAAUCACGACGCAGCGCCCCCUCCUAUGUCUAAGUUCUUUGAGAGAGCCCCAAA